rfam:Erinaceus europaeus unplaced genomic scaffold scaffold01168, whole genome shotgun sequence
GGAUGUGAGGGUGAUCUGGCUGCAACAUCUGUCACCUCAAUGAUCACCAGGGUUGAUUCGGUUGAUCUGGCUGGCUAGGCAGGUGUCCCCUUUCUCCCUCACCGCUCCAUGUGCGUCCCUCCAGAAGCUGCCUGCUUGGUGGAAGAAGAUGGCCUUCCCUGAAUACAGACAAAUACAGACAGACUGGUCUUGGAUCGAGGGUAUAAGAGUAGCUGCGCUCACUUGCUAGAACCUCCAAACAAGCUCUCAAGGCAAUAGAGAACCACAAAUCAGCGAGAAAAGAAAGAUUUUGUAGAAAUUAUCCUCAGAUAAGUCACAACUACUGGGGGGUUUUUAACA